AAAAAGACAAACCCUGGGUUUCCGUGUCCAACGUUUGACCGUCCGUCUUAUUUGAAAAAAUUAUGAAAAAAAUUAAAAAGACAAGUCACGCAUAAAAUAUUAAUCAUGUUUUAUCAUCUAACAACAAUGAAAAUACUAAUUAUAAAAAAAUUUCAUAUAAAACGGACAGUCAAACGUUGGACACGGAAACCCAGGGUUUAUCUUUUU
rfam:Oryza sativa (indica cultivar-group) chromosome 8, whole genome shotgun sequence.